rnacentral:tRNA from 1 species
GCGGGCAUGACGGAACUGGUAGACGUACAGGACUUAAAAUCCUGAGUCCGCAAGGACGUGCCGGUUCGAUUCCGGCUGCCCGCACCA